rnacentral:misc_RNA from 1 species
GUACUCUCACACUCUCUGAUCCUUUGGAUUUGGGGAGCGGUGGACUUGGGUGCUUGCUGCUUCCUUGUGGCUCACCUGAAAUGUGUCAGUGCAUCUCUUGAUUGGACAUAGUACGGCGUGAUAAGUGUCUUCGCCGGCACCUCGUAAGGGGGUGGCUGAUCGGGAGCCCUGUGCUUUCAAACCGUCUUCGGACAAUCCCUGACA